CCUACGGGGGGCAGCAGUGAGGAAUAUUGGUCAAUGGCCGCGAGUCUGAACCAGCCAAGUCGCGUGCGGGAAGACGGCCCUACGGGUUGUAAACUUCUUUUGUCAGGGAGUAAAGUUCAGCUCGUGAGCUGCUGUUUGAGUACCUGAAGAAAAAGCAUCGGCUCAAUACGUGCCAGCAGACGCGGUAAUACGUAGGUGGCACGCGUUAUCCGGAUUUAUUGGGGUUAAAGGGAACGCAGUCGGUCUUUUAAGUCUGAUGUGAAAGCCUGCGGCUUAACCGUAGAAUUGCAUUGGAAACUGGCAGCCUUGAGUGCAGAAGAGGUAGGCGGAAUUCUAUGUGUAGCGGUGAAAUGCUUAGAUAUCAGGAAGAACACCGAUGGCGAAGGCAGCUUGCUGGGCUGCAACUGACGCUGAGGUUCGAAAGCGUGGGUAGCAAACAGGAUUAGAUACCCGUGUAGUC
rnacentral:rRNA from 1 species